rnacentral:rRNA from 1 species
UAAUACGGAAGGUCCAAGCGUUAAUCGGAAUUACUGGGCGUAAAGCGCGCGUACGUGGUUUAUUAAGUUGGAUGUGAAAUCCCCGGGCUCAACCUGGGAACUGCAUCCAAAACUGAUUCACUAUAGUACGAUAGAGGGAGGUAGAAUUCACAGUGUAGCGGUGGAAUGCGUACAUAUUGUGAAGAAUACCAAUGGCGAAGGCAGCCUCCUGGAUCUGUACUGACACUGAGGUGCGAAAGCGUGGGUAGCGAACAGGAUUAGAUACCCUGGUAGUCCACGCCGUAAACGAUGUCUACUAGCUGUUGGGGAACUAUGUUCUUCAGUGGCGCAGCUAACGUAGUAAGUUGACCGCCUGGGGAGUACCGCCGCAAGGCUAAAACUCAAAUGAAUUGACGGGGACCCGCACAAGCGGUGGAGCAUGUGGUUUAAUUCGAUGCAACG